rnacentral:tRNA from 1 species
GCCGGGAUAGCUCAGUUGGUAGAGCAGGCGACUGAAAAUCGCCGUGUCCGCAGUUCAAAUCUGCGUCCUGGCACCA